rnacentral:rRNA from 1 species
UUUUAUCGGAGAGUUUGAUCCUGGCUCAGGACGAACGCUGGCGGCGUGCUUAACACAUGCAAGUCGAACGAUGAGAUGGUGCUUGCACCGUUGAUUAGUGGCGAACGGGUGAGUAACACGUGAGUAACCUGCCCAUCACUCUGGGAUAACUCCGGGAAACCGGUGCUAAUACUGGAUAUGA